rnacentral:rRNA from 1 species
AGGAUGAACGCUGGCGGUCUGCUUAACACAUGCAAGUCGAACGGAGUACCUCGGUACUUAGUGGCGGACGGGUGAGUAACGCGUGAGAAUCUGCCCUUAGGUCGGGGACAACCAUUGGAAACGAUGGCUAAUACCGGAUAAGCCGAGAGGUAAAAAGAUUAAUUGCCUAGGGAAGAGCUCGCGUCUGAUUAGCUAGUUGGUGAGGUAAAGGCUCACCAAGGCAUCGAUCAGUAGCUGGUCUGAGAGGAUGAUCAGCCACACUGGGACUGAGACACGGCCCAGACUCCUACGGGAGGCAGCAGUGGGGAAUUUUCCGCAAUGGGCGAAAGCCUGACGGAGCAAGACCGCGUGAGGGAGGAAGGCUCGUUGGGUUGUAAACCUCUUUUCUUGGGGAAGAACAAAAUGACGGUACCCAAGGAAUCAGCAUCGGCUAAUUCCGCGCCAGCAGCCGC